AGAGUUUGAUCCUGGCUCAGAACGAACGCUGGCGGCAGGCUUAACACAUGCAAGUCGAGCGCCCCGCAAGGGGAGUGGCAGACGGGUGAGUAACGCGUGGGAACAUACCCCUCGGUUCGGAAUAGCUCAGGGAAACUUGAAUUAAUACCGAAUACGGUCGAGAGGCGAAAGAUUUAUCGCCGAGGGAUUGGCCCGCGUCCGAUUAGCUAGUUGGUGAGGUAAUGGCCCACCAAGGCGACGAUCGGUAGCUGGUCUGAGAGGAUGAUCAGCCACAUUGGGACUGAGACACGGCCCAAACUCCUACGGGAGGCAGCAGUGGGGAAUAUUGGACAAUGGGCGCAAGCCUGAUCCAGCCAUGCCGCGUGAGUGAUGACGGCCUUAGGGUUGUAAAGCUCUUUCGUCAGGGACGAUAAUGACGGUACCUGAAGAAGAAGCCCCGGCUAACUUCGUGCCAGCAGCCGCGGUAAUACGAAGGGGGCUAGCGUUGUUCGGAAUUACUGGGCGUAAAGCGCGUGUAGGCGGGUCUUUAAGUCAGGGGUGAAAUGCCAGGGCUCAACCUUGGAACUGCCUUUGAUACUGGAGAUCUUGAGUCCGGGAGAGGUGAGUGGAACUGCGAGUGUAGAGGUGAAAUUCGUAGAUAUUCGCAAGAACACCAGUGGCGAAGGCGGCUCACUGGCCCGGUACUGACGCUGAGAUGCGAAAGCGUGGGGAGCAAACAGGAUUAGAUACCCUGGUAGUCCACGCUGUAAACGAUGGAUGCUAGCCGUUAGGCAGCUUGCUGCUUAGUGGCGCAGUUAACACUUUAAGCAUCCCGCCUGGGGAGUACGGUCGCAAGAUUAAAACUCAAAGGAAUGACGGA
rnacentral:rRNA from 1 species